rnacentral:tRNA from 1 species
GGAAGGGUGGCUGAGUGGUUGAAGGCGCCCGAUUCGAAAUCGGGUGGGGUCGAAAGGCUCUCGUGAGUUCGAAUCUCACCCCUUCCGCCA